rnacentral:rRNA from 1 species
UAUCUCGGCUCUUGCAUCGAUGAAGAACGUAGCGAAAUGCGAUACUUGGUGUGAAUUGCAGAAUCCCGUGAACCAUCGAGUCUUUGAACGCAAGUUGCGCCUGAAGCCAUUAGGUUGAAGGCACGUCUGCCUGGGCGUCACGCAUUGYGUCACCCACUCCCCCGUGCCUAACUGGGCAUG